AGAUAUCCCAACGGUAAACACGAGCACCAGACCUGACUGGGUGGUUGAGGGAGCUCCUGGUGAAAUGUGCUGAGGCUUCUGCUGAGGUUUCUACCUCAGCUCCACGGCCUGGCCAGGUAGGAAUGCAAUUCACCUUCCUGUCAUGUUUCUGUCCUGGCACUCCAGACAUUCGGGUCAGACAGACCUCACUAUCUCCAAGCUGCAGUGAAUCUGAGAGCCAUGAAAGUUCAAUGGAUUGAAGAAAAUGUUCACGGAAGGAAGAUGAUUAAUUGAUCCAGAGGGCCUGUAGCAACUCUGUUUAACAUGCUAGAUGAGCCAGUCUUAUUCAGUGAUGACUAAGGAUCUAGAGAAAACUGGUGUCAGGUUGGUCUUCUUCUUCCCACCUAUUUUCAGUUGGCCUGCAGUUCCUAGGAUGUGUAUCCUGUAUGCUGGUCACCGGAAGAUAGGCAAAUUUUUGCUUUGUUGCUGGUUCUGGGACAACAGCCAUGCCUGUGAACAGAGAAAACUACACAGACCUCAAUUUAUGCUUUAGGAGACUUCAGUUACGAAAUCAUAUUUAAAGAGAAGAAUCCUGGAGAUAUCAUUGCCUCAGCCUAAAGAAAAGAAUCAACAAAAUAAUGCUCUUGAAGCAGAAGGUGCCAAUGGUGAAACCAGGAGGCAGAGAGUUUCAAAAUCAUAUGUGUGUCACUCUCAUGAAAACAAAAACCAGCUGCAACCACAGAGCUCAGUCAUUUUAAUAAUAUGACUUUAUUAUUCCAAGAAAUUCUUGCCUAGGAAGAUUAAAUUAAGAAUAACUUUAUUCUUAAUUAUUCAGGAAAUAUUCCUUAUUUCUGGAACUUCUGGAAAAUCCUUUUUUUUUUUUCUGAAUAGACCUCUCAGCUAGCCUCAUUAUCCCUUCUCAGUAUGCCAGCUGUCUCAAUGGCUCACCAUACAACUGACUGCUACUCAAGACUCCAUUCAAAAUCUCACCUUGUUUCAUCUGUCUUACAACAUUGUCAUGACCUUUGCCCAAUCCCAACCAAGUACCCUCCCCAUACUUCCACCAGUGAAAGACUCACCUUAAAUCAGACCCCCAGACCUCAUGAAGGUCUUUGCCUGCUCACCCUCCCAGAUGCUAUUGAGACACUGUCAAGGGAAUGGUCUUCCUUAUUCCAGUAAGCAACAAACUUGUCUCAGCUUCGACCACAGUUUACUGAGGGUGAUAUCUUCAGGUAAUCAGCAGCCAAUACACCUAUGUGGUCUCCAGUGAGUGUUAAAAGUUGUGUGUGCAAAAAUGUCACUCAAAACAUGUAGUUUGGAAAUGAGAAUUUUGUUAACUAAAAGGUGCAAUGUUU
ensembl:lncRNA novel transcript